GACGAACGCUGGCGGCGUGCCUAAUACAUGCAAGUAGAACGCUGAAGCUUGGUGCUUGCACCGAGCGGAUGAGUUGCGAACGGGUGAGUAACGCGUAGGUAACCUGCCUGGUAGCGGGGGAUAACUAUUGGAAACGAUAGCUAAUACCGCAUAACAGUAGAUAUUGCAUGAUAUCUACUUGAAAGGUGCAAUUGCAUCACUACCAGAUGGACCUGCGUUGUAUUAGCUAGUUGGUGAGGUAACGGCUCACCAAGGCAACGAUACAUAGCCGACCUGAGAGGGUGAUCGGCCACACUGGGACUGAGACACGGCCCAGACUCCUACGGGAGGCAGCAGUAGGGAAUCUUCGGCAAUGGACGGAAGUCUGACCGAGCAACGCCGCGUGAGUGAAGAAGGUUUUCGGAUCGUAAAGCUCUGUUGUAAGAGAAGAACGAGUGUGAGAGUGGAAAGUUCACACUG
rnacentral:rRNA from 1 species